rnacentral:rRNA from 1 species
AGUGAACGCUGGCGGUAGGCCUAACACAUGCAAGUCGAACGGCAGCACAGUAAGAGCCUGCUCUUACGGGUGGCGAGUGGCGGACGGGUGAGGAAUACAUCGGAAUCUACUUUUUCGUGGGGGAUAACGUAGGGAAACUUACGCUAAUACCGCAUACGACCUACGGGUGAAAGCAGGGGAUCUUCGGACCUUGCGCGAUUGAAUGAGCCGAUGUCGGAUUAGCUAGUUGGCGGGGUAAAGGCCCACCAAGGCGACGAUCCGUAGCUGGUCUGAGAGGAUGAUCAGCCACACUGGAACUGAGACACGGUCCAGACUCCUACGGGAGGCAGCAGUGGGGAAUAUUGGACAAUGGGCGCAAGCCUGGUCCAGCCAUACCGCGUGGGUGAAGAAGGCCUUCGGGUUGUAAAGCCCUUUUGUUGGGAAAGAAAAGCAGCAGGUUAAUACCCCGCUGUUCUGACGGUACCCAAAGAAUAAGCACCGGCUAACUUCGUG